rnacentral:rRNA from 1 species
GAUGAACGCUGGCGGCGUGCCUAAUACAUGCAAGUCGAGCGAACGGACGAGAAGCUUGCUUCUCUGAUGUUAGCGGCGGACGGGUGAGUAACACGUGGAUAACCUACCUAUAAGACUGGGAUAACUUCGGGAAACCGGAGCUAAUACCGGAUAAUAUUUUGAACCGCAUGGUUCAAAAGUGAAAGACGGUCUUGCUGUCACUUAUAGAUGGAUCCGCGCUGCAUUAGCUAGUUGGUAAGGUAACGGCUUACCAAGGCAACGAUGCAUAGCCGACCUGAGAGGGUGAUCGGCCACACUGGAACUGAGACACGGUCCAGACUCCUACGGGAGGCAGCAGUAGGGAAUCUUCCGCAAUGGGCGAAAGCCUGACGGAGCAACGCCGCGUGAGUGAUGAAGGUCUUCGGAUCGUAAAACUCUGUUAUUAGGGAAGAACAUAUGUGUAAGUAACUGUGCACAUCUUGACGGUACCUAAUCAGAAAGCCACGGCUAACUACGUGCCAGCAGCCGCGGUAAUACGUAGGUGGCAAGCGUUAUCCGGAAUUAUUGGGCGUAAAGCGCGCGUAGGCGGUUUUUUAAGUCUGAUGUGAAAGCCCACGGCUCAACCGUGGAGGGUCAUUGGAAACUGGAAAACUUGAGUGCAGAAGAGGAAAGUGGAAUUCCAUGUGUAGCGGUGAAAUGCGCAGAGAUAUGGAGGAACACCAGUGGCGAAGGCGACUUUCUGGUCUGUAACUGACGCUGAUGUGCGAAAGCGUGGGGAUCAAACAGGAUUAGAUACCCUGGUAGUCCACGCCGUAAACGAUGAGUGCUAAGUGUUAGGGGGUUUCCGCCCCUUAGUGCUGCAGCUAACGCAUUAAGCACUCCGCCUGGGGAGUACGACCGCAAGGUUGAGACUCAAAGGAAUUGACGGGGACCCGCACAAGCGGUGGAGCAUGUGGUUUAAUUCGAAGCAACGCGAAGAACCUUACCAAAUCUUGACAUCCUUUGACAACUCUAGAGAUAGAGCCUUCCCCUUCGGGGGACAAAGUGACAGGUGGUGCAUGGUUGUCGUCAGCUCGUGUCGUGAGAUGUUGGGUUAAGUCCCGCAACGAGCGCAACCCUUAAGCUUAGUUGCCAUCAUUAAGUUGGGCACUCUAAGUUGACUGCCGGUGACAAACCGGAGGAAGGUGGGGAUGACGUCAAAUCACCAUGCCCCUUAUGAUUUGGGCUACACACGUGCUACAAUGGACAAUACAAAGGGCAGCGAAACCGCGAGGUCAAGCAAAUCCCAUAAAGUUGUUCUCAGUUCGGAUUGUAGUCUGCAACUCGACUACAUGAAGCUGGAAUCGCUAGUAAUCGUAGAUCAGCAUGCUACGGUGAAUACGUUCCCGGGUCU